UACAGGGGGUGCAAACGUUGCUCGGAAUUAUUGGGCGUAAAGCGCGCGUAGGCGGCCACUUAAGUCGGAUGUGAAAGCCCUUGGCUCAACUGAGGAAGUGCACCCGAAACUGAAUGGCUUGAGUACUAAAGAGGGUCGCGGAAUUCCCGGUGUAGAGGUGAAAUUCGUAGAUAUCGGGAGGAACACCGGUGGCGAAGGCGGCGACCUGGGUAGAUACUGACGCUGAGGCGCGAAAGCGCGGGGAGCAAACAGG
rnacentral:rRNA from 1 species